UUGAGCCCUGCCAAUGGGGAGUUCCCAGACCCAACAUCUGGAUGUGGGUCUGGCUUGUCAGGCUAACAAUGCAGUACAGUCCAUAUAGGAACAGAAAGGUGUUCUCUAGUCCCGGUGCAAAACAAAAGAAUGAACAAAUCAACAUGAGGUGAAAACAACAAGAUACAAAACAGUUACAGAACAAGAUACAAGACAAGGAACAAACAUUUAGUGAAAUAAUAGAAAAAUAUACAUACAGGGGAAAAUAUAAAUACACAGAGUGAAAAUAAAUGGAAACAAAUGUAAAGCAGUUCCCUGAUAAUAUGUAUGUAAUAUAAUAACAGUAAUCCAUUUGAAUUCAUAAUUCUGUUGU